rnacentral:rRNA from 1 species
AACGAACGCUGGCGGCGUGCCUAACACAUGCAAGUCGAACGAGAAAGGGGCUUCGGCUCCGAGUAAAGUGGCGCACGGGUGAGUAACACGUAGGUAACCUGCCUCUAAGAUUGGGAUAACAUGUCGAAAGACGUGCUAAUACCGAAUAAGACCACGGCUUCCUCGGAAGCAGGGGUCAAAGAUAGCCUCUACUUGUAAGCUAUCACUUAGAGAUGGGCCUGCGUACCAUUAGCUAGUUGGUAGGGUAAUGGCCUACCAAGG